AUGCGAUGAUGUCUUGAAUUUCUUCACCUGAAUCUGUUGUGUGGAGCCGAAAAUACGAGCUUUUUAACCCUGAGCAUC